AGUAAUGCCUAGGAAUCUGCCUGGUAGUGGGGGAUAACGUUCGGAAACGGACGCUAAUACCGCAUACGUCCUACGGGAGAAAGCAGGGGACCUUCGGGCCUUGCGCUAUCAGAUGAGCCUAGGUCGGAUUAGCUAGUUGGUGAGGUAAUGGCUCACCAAGGCGACGAUCCGUAACUGGUCUGAGAGGAUGAUCAGUCACACUGGAACUGAGACACGGUCCAGACUCCUACGGGAGGCAGCAGUGGGGAAUAUUGGACAAUGGGCGAAAGCCUGAUCCAGCCAUGCCGCGUGUGUGAAGAAGGUCUUCGGAUUGUAAAGCACUUUAAGUUGGGAGGAAGGGUUGUAGAUUAAUACUCUGCAAUUUUGACGUUACCGACAGAAUAAGCACCGGCUAACUCUGUGCCAGCAGCCGCGGUAAUACAGAGGGUGCAAGCGUUAAUCGGAAUUACUGGGCGUAAAGCGCGCGUAGGUGGUUUGUUAAGUUGGAUGUGAAAUCCCCGGGCUCAACCUGGGAACUGCAUUCAAAACUGACUGACUAGAGUAUGGUAGAGGGUGGUGGAAUUUCCUGUGUAGCGGUGAAAUGCGUAGAUAUAGGAAGGAACACCAGUGGCGAAGGCGACCACCUGGACUAAUACUGACACUGAGGUGCGAAAGCGUGGGGAGCAAACAGGAUUAGAUACCCUGGUAGUCCACGCCGUAAACGAUGUCAUUUAGCCGCUGGAAGCCUUGAGCUUUU
rnacentral:rRNA from 1 species